CUAGGCCUACGGGAGGCAGCAGUGGGGAAUAUUGGGCAAUGGGGGAAACCCUGACCCAGCGACGCCGCGUGAGGGAAGAAGGUUUUCGGAUUGUAAACCUCUGUCUUUGGUGACGAUAAUGACGGUAGCCAAGGAGGAAGCCACGGCUAACUACGUGCCAGCAGCCGCGGUAAUACGUAGGUGGCGAGCGUUGUCCGGAAUUACUGGGUGUAAAGGGAGCGUAGGCGGGAGAGCAAGUCGACUGUGAAAUUUAUGGGCUUAACCCAUAGCUGCGAUCGAAACUGUUCAUCUUGA
rnacentral:rRNA from 1 species